GACGGGGGAUGCAAGUGUUAUCCGGAAUCACUGGGCGUAAAGCGUCUGCAGGUGGUUUCCUAAGUCCACUGUUAAACCUUGAGGCUCAACCUCAAAUCUGCAUUGGAAACUAGGAGACUUGAGUAUGGUAGGGGUAGAGGGAAUUUCCAGUGGAGCGGUGAAAUGCGUAGAUAUUGGAAAGAACACCGAUGGCGAAGGCACUCUACUGGGCUAUUACUGACACUCAGAGACGAAAGCUAGGGGAGCAAAUGGG
rnacentral:rRNA from 1 species